GUAAUGGGGGAAAUUCAGAUAACUGGACACCUACUAGGUUCUGGUGCGUUUGUAAAGUUUCAAAGAAGCAGAAACAAUCGUCAUUUUCCUUUUCUGGAUAAUGAAGCUGGCUUUGAAAUACAUGAAUAUCAGAAGAGUAUCCUGAGGCAAAGCAGAUAUACCACUGUUUAAGGAAACGAUCCAAUUUGGGAGCAAGAACUGUGCUUUCCAUUGGCAUACAGGAAGGACAGAAGUUAAUCACCUACAGCAACUCUAAACUCCAGACCUGAGAUAGCACCAGAGAAGUCUACCCAAUAAAGGGGAAACACUGAAACCACCCCCCUUGGCCAGGAAAGAUAGUAGCCACUUGCACAAGGAUUCUUAACAACAGGAAGACCUGGGAAGGAAAGUGGAACUAACAAGCUACUACCGACUGGAAGAAUUCAGGAAUGGCCCAAAGGAGACACCACCUGUCCUACCUACCAACCUCCCAGAAUCCUCCUUGCUGGAAUCCAUCUGGCUGAGUGACGGGUGCACCGCUAGGCAGGACCCUGAGUCAGUGAUUGGCCAGAGACAACCUGGAAAGUAAUCCCAACACCAUAAAACCCAAGACCACGAGCCAGGGGGCAGAGCCAUCCUCCUGGGCUCUCCUUCCCAACAGAGUCUCCCGCUUUGUCAGCCCCUGUGUCUCCUAGAACAAUUCAUUUCCAG